GCGCACGCACACAACCAACGACAGCAUCCGUUUUUCCGCGCCAGCUGCCGCGGAGGGGCGGUGACCGACGGGCAAGUAGAGACCCAGGGGGUGUGGAGGGGCGAGCGCCCUCGCACAGAGGGGAAGGAAGACAGCGGGAUGCUGAGUGCUGUCUGGGGAGCCGGAGGGCCCGGGGCGGGCGGGGCUGCUCGAGGACAGCCGAGCAGAAAAGAAUUGGUGCUGAGGCACCACCUUUGGAGCCGCCCUCGCUGCCUGCUCUUCCCGCCGGGCUCACUCCCCGCUUCUCUCCUGGGGCUUCCUGGAGUCACUUCCCACGUGAGCUGCUGGUCCCCAAAUCUUGCCUCAGGGCUUGCUCCCAGGGGAACGCAGACUCAGAGCGUCCUCCUUGGAGAAGCAAGGCUCCUCUGCUGAGUCUCCUGCCGUGGACGGAGGAGUGAGGGGGGCGAGGAAACGCAGUCUUCUGAGAGCACAACACAGGACUGGGAUUGUGCCAGGAAGAUGUGGAAUGGUGUGGAAAGACAAGAAGCUGCAGCCUUCAGGCUGCCGUGGAAAAGCUGGGGGUGUCUUCUGUGGCCCAUCAGGAGGGGGUGUGUAAUGAAUUAUUAAUGAAUUUCUCAGAUGA